rnacentral:rRNA from 1 species
UACGGAGGGUGCAAGCGUUAUCCGGAUUCACUGGGUUUAAAGGGUGCGUAGGCGGGUAAGUAAGUCCGUGGUGAAAUCUCUGAGCUUAACUCAGAAACUGCCGUGGAUACUAUUUGCCUUGAAUAUUGUGGAGGUGAGCGGAAUAUGUCAUGUAGCGGUGAAAUACUUAGAUAUGACAUAGAACACCAAUUGCGAAGACAGCUCACUACACAAUUAUUGACUCUGAGGCACGAAAGCGUGGGGAUCAAACAGG